rnacentral:tRNA from 1 species
CAAAUUAAAGUUUUUUAUAAAUAUUUCAUUUACAUUGAAAAGAAAUUGAUUUUAUCAUUUAAUUUGA